rnacentral:rRNA from 1 species
GAUCCUGGCUCAGGAUGAACGCUAGCUACAGGCUUAACACAUGCAAGUCGAGGGGAAACGAUAUUGGAAGCUUGCUUCCGAUAGGCGUCGACCGGCGCACGGGUGAGUAACGCGUAUCCAACCUGCCCAUCACUUGGGAAUAACCUUGCGAAAGUAAGACUAAUGCCCAAUGACAUUUAUAGAAGGCAUCUGAAAUGAAUUAAAGAUUUAUCGGUGAUGGAUGGGGAUGCGU